rnacentral:tRNA from 1 species
GGCGGUGUCGCCAAGUGGUAAGGCAAUGGAUUGCAAAUCCUUCAUUCUCCAGUUCGAAUCUGGAUACCGUCU